rnacentral:rRNA from 2 species
GCCCGGUCCCAUUCCGAACCCGGAAGCUAAGGCCUGGCACGGCGAUGGUACUGCACCCGACAGGGUGUGGGAGAGUAGCACGCCGCCGCAC